UGAGCAUUAACCAAUUGGGUUGAUGCGCUAUCGAACAUAAGACAAUCGCUGGUUAAUAGUGGCGUAAAAUACUGCAGCGUUUAUUUCGCAAAGCAGAAAUAUCAUUAUAGUAUUAUUGCUUGCUGUAGUUCAGCAAGCACACAAAUUCUAUGACGGGAAGCAAAUAGUUAUCGGCGAUCAUUCAUGUGCGAAGAUUAAUACUUAUUCUUCUUACGCAAGUUCCACGCUCUCAGAAAACCUUUCAAGAAUGGCUACAAGACUCUCGUUCUGUGGCCAGAUUCUAAAAUUGCUCACAAGAAUAAGUUGUGUCAGACAAUGAAGCACUGCUGUAUCAUUCUUUGUUAGAAGACCAGUUAUGAUUGUUGGGAAUGGAACCGUAAGAAUUCUAAGUUAUAAGAUGACCGUGAUCGCACUUCGGCCAGGCGAAGAUUGAAUUACUAAUGUUGCAAUCUCAGGUAUCAAAAUUCCUAAGAUUUAAACGAAAUAAAUGGGAAGAUGCCGUGAUCAAAUCCCAUUCUGAUUGUAGAAAUAGCUCUGCUUUGCUGUAUACAGACAUGUGAAACCACUGUAAUCUGGGUAUUUAAGAUUGUAUCCAGCUAUAAUACGAGAGUUGUUCAAUAAAGAAUGAUCAUAA